UACAGAGGUCUCGAGCGUUGUUCGGAUUCAUUGGGCGUAAAGGUGCGUAGGUGGCGCUGUAAGUCAGGUGUGAAUUCGGAGCUUAACUCCGAACUGCAUUUGAUACUGCGGUGCUUGAGGACUGGAGAGGAGACUGGAAUUUACGGUGUAGCAGUGAAAUGCGUAGAGAUCGUAAGGAAGACCAGUGGCGAAGGCGGGUCUCUGGACAGUUCCUGACACUGAGGCACGAAGGCCAGGGAGCAAACGGG
rnacentral:rRNA from 1 species